rnacentral:rRNA from 1 species
CGCAGCCGCGGUAAUUCCAGCUCCAAUAGCGUAUAUUAAAGUUGUUGCAGUUAAAAAGCUCGUAGUUGAAUUUCGGGAUCAGUACGCCGGUCGUGCCUCCGGUAUGUACUGGUGUUACUGGUUCCUACCUUCUGACGAACCGUCAUGUCAUUAAUUUGGUGUGGCGGGGAAUCAGGACUGUUACUUUGAAAAAAUUAGAGUGUUUAAAGCAGGCUCGCGCUUGAAUACAUUAGCAUGGAAUAAUGAAAUAGGACGUUCGAUCCUAUUUUGUUGGUUUCUAGGAUUGACGUAAUGAUUAAUAGGGAUAGUUGGGGGCAUUAGUAUUCAAUUGUCAGAGGUGAAAUUCUUGGAUUUAUUGAAGACUAACUACUGCGAAAGCAUUUGCCAAGGAUGUUUUCAUUAAUCAAGAACGAAAGUUAGGGGAUCGAAGACGAUCAGAUACCGUCGUAGUCUUAACCAUAAACUAUGCCGACUAGGGAUCGGAUGAUGUUAUUUUUAAUGACUCAUUCGGCGCCUUACG